UACGAAGGGGGCUAGCGUUGCUCGGAAUCACUGGGCGUAAAGCGCACGUAGGCGGAUUGCUAAGUCAGGGGUGAAAUCCUGGAGCUCAACUCCAGAACUGCCUUUGAUACUGGCGACCUUGAGUCCGGGAGAGGUGAGUGGAACUGCGAGUGUAGAGGUGAAAUUCGUAGAUAUUCGCAAGAACACCCGUGGCGAAAGCGGCUCUCUGGGACGGUACUGACGCUGAGACGCGAAAGCGUGGGGAGCGAACAGG
rnacentral:rRNA from 1 species